rnacentral:ncRNA from 1 species
GUGGUUCGACUUACGUCGAUUAAUAGGGAACGUAAAAGCACACGGAAUGUGUGCCGGGUGAGAAUCCCCGACUGUCCCGCAGCUGUAAGUUGCCUUUUUAGCGAUGCAAGCAUGACACGUCACUGACAUUUUCGGGAAGACGCUUGCAUCGGGCAACAGAGUCAGAAGACCUGCCACGAUA